GAUGAAGAACGCAGUGAAAUGCGAUACGUAAUGUGAAUUGCAGAAUUCAGUGAAUCAUCGCGUCUUUGAACGCACAUUGCGCCCCCUGGUAUUCCGGGGGGCAUGCCUGUCCGAGCGUCAUUGCUGCCCUCAAGCACGGCUUGUGUGUUGGGCCUCCGUCCUCCUCCCGGGGGACGGGCCCGAAAGGCAGCGGCGGCACCGCGUCCGGUCCUCGAGCGUAUGGGGCUUCGUCACCCGCUCUUGUAGGCCCGGCCGGCGCUUGCCGACACAUCAAUCUUUUUUCCAGGUUGACCUCGGAUCAGGUAGGGAUACCCGCUGAACUUAAGCAUAUCAAUAAGCGGAGGA
rnacentral:misc_RNA from 1 species